rnacentral:rRNA from 1 species
UACGUAGGGGGCAAGCGUUGUCCGGAUUUAUUGGGCGUAAAGAGCGUGUAGGCGGCCAUACAGGUCAGCUGUGAAACUCGAGGCUCAACCUCGAGACGUCGGUUGAAACCGUAUGGCUAGAGUCCGGAAGAGGAGAGUGGAAUUCCCGGUGUAGCGGUGAAAUGCGCAGAUAUCGGGAAGAACACCCGUGGCGAAGGCGGCUCUCUGGGACGGUACUGGACGCGUGAGACGCGAAAGCGUGGGGAGCGAACGAGGA